rnacentral:rRNA from 1 species
UACGUAGGGUGCAAGCGUUGUCCGGAAUUAUUGGGCGUAAAGAGCUCGUAGGCGGUUUGUCGCGUCUGCUGUGAAAACCCGGGGCUUAACCCCUGGCUUGCAGUGGAUACGGACAGACUAGAGGUAGGUAGGGGAGAAUGGAAUUCCCGGUGUAGCGGUGAAAUGCGCAGAUAUCGGGAGGAACACCGGUGGCGAAGGCGGUUCUCUGGGCCUUACCUGACGCUGAGGAGCGAAAGCGUGGGUAGCGAACAGG